ACAUGCACAGACAGCCACACCUCGCUCCUUAGGACCCCAGCCGCCAUAUGCUGCACCAGUUGGGAGCUCAACUUGCCAAGAACUCUAGAAGAAAGAGAAAAGUGGUGAAAACUGACCCCAGCACAGCACAAACAUGGCGGAAAUCUUUGAGUUGUAGACUUAAGAGAAAAUUUGGAGAGAAAACGUUCUUUCAACUGCUUUCAGGAGCAUGUAAAAUCAGCAGAUGCCAGCCAAAUGUUGCAUAAUCUCAAAGGGAGCAUCCAUUCAUCUUCAGCCUGGUCCCUGUCCUCUGGCUAAAAGGGGCAGCAAUAUUUCUGCCUGCGUCCAGGAGGGUGAAACUGUCAUGUUUUUUUUUUUUUUUUCGGCUCUGUCUGAUAAGUUCUCCCUCCCAUCUCUUCUUUAAGAGGUUUCCUGCCAGAGCUGUGCAAAAGUUGAAGUGGAUGAUGAAGAGGCUGAGCAGGGGGCCUGGCAGCGCUGCAUCCCACACAGACGCCUCUCUUGUGGGCAUGCCGAGAGGGACAUGGCCCCCGUGAUGGAAGGUUGCUGGCAGUCUGGAGCCGGAACUGCAGAAGGAAAAGGUGUGCUAGGCUUUUUGGCAUUUCCUCUUUCUUAUCGCAGGAGGCAGGUAGGAGUCAUGGGCAAACAACACGCAUCAUUACCUGUGUGAGUAAAGUGGUCGGGUCCUGGCACCUUCAACCGUUGCAGAAUAACUAAUGCCUGGAACCUUCCACCCGGCUCUGUACCAGCCCAGAGGCAAUUUGGGGGUUCACCCAUUGCAGAUAGCUCAGAUAACUGGGCAUUAAUUUGCCCUCAUUACUCCAAAAACAUACAGCCUCAGGGUAUGUCUAGAGAGCAGUCUGAGACCCCCGAGUAGCUCACCUAUGCAUUAAUGUCAAGGAUGACUCUAUAAAAAAAAACAACAACAACUAUGUAUUGGUUUUGCCUACCCAUUAAAAGAAC